rnacentral:rRNA from 1 species
CAGCAGCCGCGGUAAUACGAAGGUCCCGAGCGUUGUUCGGAAUCACUGGGCGUAAAGGGAGCGUAGGCGGCGUGGUAAGUCAAAUGUGAAAUCCCGGGGCUCAACCCCGGAACUGCAUCCGAUACUGCCGUGCUAGAGGAUUGGAGAGGUAGCUGGAAUUCUUGGUGUAGCAGUGAAAUGCGUGGAGAUCAAGAGGAACACUCGUGGCGAAAGCGAGCUACUGGACAAUAUCUGACGCUGAGGCUCGAAGGCCAGGGUAGCGAAAGGGAUUAGAUACCCCGGUAGUCCCUGUCUCUUAUAC